rnacentral:rRNA from 1 species
UACGUAGGGGGCAAGCGUUGUCCGGAUUUAUUGGGCGUAAAGAGCUCGUAGGUGGUUCGGUAAGUCGGAUGUGAAAUCUCCAGGCUCAACCUGGAGGGGUCAUUCGAUACUGCCGUGACUAGAGGUCGGUAGGGGAGUGUGGAAUUCCUGGUGGAGCGGUGAAAUGCGCAGAUAUCAGGAGGAACACCCGUAGCGAAGGCGGCACUCUGGGCCGAUACUGACACUGAGGAGCGA